CGCGUAGGCGGUCUUGUCGGUCAGAUUUGAAAGCCCAGGGCUCAACCCUGGACGUGCAUUUGAAACAGCAAGACUUGAGUACGGGAGAGGAAAGCGGAAUUCCUGGUGUAGAGGUGAAAUUCGUAGAUAUCAGGAGGAACACCGAUGGCGAAGGCAGCUUUCUGGACCGAUACUGACGCUGAGGCGCGAAGGCGUGGGUAGCGAACAGGAUUAGAUACCCUGGUAGUCC
rnacentral:rRNA from 1 species